rnacentral:rRNA from 1 species
UGGGGAAUAUUGGACAAUGGGCGAAAGCCUGAUCCAGCCAUGCCGCGUGUGUGAAGAAGGUCUUCGGAUUGUAAAGCACUUUAAGUUGGGAGGAAGGGCAGUAAGCGAAUACCUUGCUGUUUUGACGUUACCGACAGAAUAAGCACCGGCUAACUCUGUGCCAGCAGCCGCGGUAAUACAGAGGGUGCAAGCGUUAAUCGGAAUUACUGGGCGUAAAGCGCGCGUAGGUGGUUCGUUAAGUUGAAUGUGAAAGCCCCGGGCUCAACCUGGGAACUGCAUCGAAAACUGGCGAGCUAGAGUAGGGCAGAGGGUGGUGGAAUUUCCUGUGUAGCGGUGAAAUGCGUAGAUAUAGGAAGGAACACCAGUGGCGAAGGCGACAACCUGGGCUCAUGCUGACACUGAGGUGCGAAAGCGUGGGGAGCAAACAGG